rnacentral:rRNA from 1 species
GGCUGGGAAAGACCGGUGCCAGCCGCCGCGGUAAUACCGGCAGCUCAAGUGGUCGUCGCUUUUAUUGGGCCUAAAACGUCCGUAGCCUGUUUGGUAAAUCUGUGGGUAAAUCAACCAGCUUAACUGGUUGAAUUCUGCAGAGACUGCCAGACUAGGGACCGGGAGAGGUGUGGGGUACUCUAGGGGUAGGGGUAAAAUCCUGUCAUCCUUAGAGGACCACCAGUUGCGAAGGCGCCACACUGGAACGGAUCCGACGGUCAGGGACGAAGCCUAGGGGCACGAACCGGAUUAGAUACCCGGGUAGUCCUAGGUGUAAACGCUGUGAACUUGGUGUCGGGGAUCCGCCAUGGGCCCCCGGUGCCGGAGUGAAGAUGUUAAGUUCACUGCCUGGGGAGUACGGUCGCAAGGCUGAAACUUAAA